rnacentral:misc_RNA from 1 species
GGAAUAGUUGAGAUAAGAAAGGGCAUUUAAUACGUGUACGCAUUAGAGUUGGACUUGGACAAAGCAAAGGUUGGCGCUGGGUGGCGUCAUUAGAAUAUGCUUCUCGGAUCUGCCGCCCCCAACAAACUCUCCAUUUUUGUCGUUAUUUCUAUUUCUAUGGGAGUUGGGUCCCACUUUCCCAAGAAUGUUGACCUUUCAAUGUUGAAGGUGUUUUUUU